rnacentral:rRNA from 1 species
AUGACAGCUUCUACUCGUUCCUCGGCGAGGACGACGGCGUCGGCCACUUCCAACUCUUCGGAUCCCGCCAUGGCCUCGUGCUUAUCUUCGACAGAUCGCGGAACCAGGUCCUGGUACUGGACCCCUUCAAUGGCGAUAGGCACCGCAUCGCCGUUCCGCCCGAUUUCGAUGAGGGAGACCUCGAUCGGCGGGGCUGUGUCUCGCGCCGCCGGAGACGGACAGCACUUCCAAGUGGUCUUGGUAACCACACAGGUAUACGAGCAAGGAGAUACAGCGAUCGCCCGUGUUUACUCGUCGGGGACUGGCGGAUGGGGUGCUCUCAUCUCAUUACUGCUUCCACCCAAGCAUCGCACUUCCGUGAUUUGUACGGGAUUUCCCAGUAUCCUAGUUGGGCAUUCCCUGUACUGGUUGCUCUCUGACAUGAAAGUUAAGGAAAGAUCGGAUGGCAUCCUUGAGUUUGAUUUGGAGAGGCAGGUCCUAUCCCUGUUACCAGUGCCGGUGGAUGCCAUUCCUACCAAACUCCAGCUUAUGCGGGCAGUGGGUGGUGGCCUUGGUAUUUUCUUUCUGUCAAAAUUCAGCGUCCAAUUAUGGAAGAUGGAGACCGAUUCUGAUGGUGUUCCUUCAUGGGUGCUAGCAAGAACUGUUGAACUGGAUAAGCUAUUUCUCUUGAGUUCACGGAAGAAGAAGAGAGAGCCCCUAUGCAUAAAGGGGUUUGCUGAGUACAAUAGUGUGGUGUUCCUACGGACACCUACCGACCUCUUCACGAUCCAGCUUGAGUCGCUGAAGUUCAAGAAAGUUUCCAGAACCAACUUCGCGGCUCGCUAUCAUCCGUUCGAAAGCAUCUAUGUUGCAGGUGGCGUUCUGUGUGAUGGUUAUGAUUUUGGAAAAACAUCUUUUACUGGUAGCUAG